rnacentral:tmRNA from 1 species
GGGUCCGUAACGGUUUCGACGGAGAUUUCGAGCUUCGGUAAGCGGGCGGAUGCGCCUACCAUCCUUAAAAUGGGCAAAAUUGUCUAAUUUAACUGACAACAAUAACGAACUUCCGGUAGCCGCUUAGUGCUGCCCGUCCCGCCCGGGAAUUCCGCGACCCGGGACGGGGCGUCGAUUAGCGGAGAACGUAUGUACGCCGAGCCUCUAUGCGUGCUAUGAACACGAGGCUACCCCGCGCGAACGCGUGACGGCUUGCGCCGCGGGAGGGAACUGGGGUAAGACCCCGGGAUAACCGUCUGCGCCCGGAGAAAACCGCUGGGAGGAGUUUUCGGACGCGGGUUCAACUCCCGCCGGAUCCACCA